UUACGGCCAUAUGAUGUUGAAAGACUGAUUCUCGUACGAUCACUGAAGUUAAGCAAUGUCGAGCCUGGUCAGUAUUUAGAUGGGUAACUGCUGGGGAAUACCAGAUGCUGUAAG